AGCUUUGCGCAGUGGCAGUAUCGUAGCCAACGAGGUCUAUCCGAGGCGCGAUUAUUGCUAAUUGAAAUUGCAGUCUAGGUUAUGUAAAGGAAUGUUGAUCCCAAUAUUAUUGUCGCCAUGGAAGGCUCUGAAGAUCAAGCAACAGAAUUCUAAUUUUAUUAUCUGUAUACUGGAAAACCAG
rnacentral:snRNA from 1 species